UAAGGAAUAUUGGACAAUGGGGGAAACCCUGAUCCAGCCAUGCCGCGUGAGUGAAGAAGGCCUUAGGGUUGUAAAGCUCUUUCAAUGGUGAAGAUAAUGACGGUAGCCAUAGAAGAAGCCCCGGCUAAAUUCGUGCCAGCAGCCGCGGUAAUACGAAUGGGGCAAGCGUUGUUCGGAAUCACUGGGCUUAAAGCGUAUGUAGGCGGUCAUGCAAGUCAGAAGUGAAAUCCCUGGGCUUAACCCGGGAACUGCUUUUGAAACUGCACGACUAGAAUCCUGGAGAGGUUGGGAGAAUUCCUAGUGUAGAGGUGAAAUUCGCAGAUAUUAGGAGGAAUACCAGUGGCGUAGGCGCCCAACUGGACAGGUAUUGACGCUCAGAUACGAAAGCGUGGGGAGCAAA
rnacentral:rRNA from 1 species